UACAGAGGGUGCGAGCGUUGUUCGGAAUUAUUGGGCGUAAAGCGCUGGUAGGUGGCUUGUUAAGUCGCGUGUGAAAGCUCCAGGCUCAACCUGGAAAGUGCGCGCGAAACUGGCAAGCUUGAGUGCCGGAGAGGGUCGUGGAAUUCCCAGUGUAGAGGUGAAAUUCGUAGAUAUUGGGAGGAACACCAGAGGCGAAGGCGACGACCUGGAAGGUCACUGACACUGAGCAGCGAAAGCGUGGGGAGCAAACAGG
rnacentral:rRNA from 1 species